UUGUGGUUAAAAAGCUCGUAGUUGGAUUUCGGCGGGCAUUGGUUGGUUUGAAUUGUUUCAACACUGACUAUUUUGCCCGUGUGUUUUGCCAGAAUUUAACGGGUGCUCUUCGCCGAGUGUCUGUUAGAGCUGGCAGGUUUACUUUGAAAAAAUUAGAGUGCUCAAAGCAAGCUUAAUCGCUUGAAUAUUCGUGCAUGGAAUAAUAGAAUAGGAAGUCGUUUCUAUUUUGUUGGUUUUCGGAAAUCGACUUAAUGAUUAAUAGGGACAGUCGGGGGCAUUUGUAUUCAAACGACAGAGGUGAAAUUCUUGGACCGUUUGAAGACAGACUACUGCGAAAGCAUUUGCCAAGAAUGUUUUCAUUAAUCAAGAACGAAAGUUAGAGGUUCGAAGGCGAUUAGAUACCGCCCUAGUUCUAACCAUAAACGAUGCCAGCUAGCGAUCUGUCGGCGUUUUAUUUUGACUUGACAGGGAGCCUCCGGGAAAACCAAAG
rnacentral:rRNA from 1 species